CCUACGGGAGGCAGCAGUGAGGAAUAUUGGUCAAUGGCCGCAGGGCUGAACCAGCCAAGUCGCGUGAGGGAUGACGGUCCUAUGGAUUGUAAACCUCUUUUGUCAGGGAGCAAAGGGCGCCACGUGUGGCGCUUUGCGAGUACCUGAAGAAAAAGCAUCGGCAAACUCCGUGCCAGCAGCCGCGGUAAUACGGAGGAUGCGAGCGUUAUCCGGAUUUAUUGGGUUUAAAGGGUGCGCAGGCGGAAUGUCAAGUCAGUGGUAAAAUUUCGGGGCUCAACCCCGUCGUGCCGUUGAAACUGGCGUUCUUGAGUGAGCGAGAAGUAUGCGGAAUGCGUGGUGUAGCGGUGAAAUGCAUAGAUAUCACGCAGAACUCCGAUUGCGAAGGCAGCAUACCGGCGCUCAACUGACGCUCAUGCACGAAAGCGUGGGUAUCGAACAGGAUUAGAUACCCUGGUAGUC
rnacentral:rRNA from 1 species